rnacentral:rRNA from 1 species
AUUGAACGCUGGCGGCAGGCCUAACACAUGCAAGUCGAACGAGAGGCGGACGGGUGAGUAAUGUCUGGGAAACUGCCCGAUGGAGGGGGAUAACUACUGUAAACGGUAGCUAAUACCGCAUACCAUCGGAUGUGCCCAGAUGGGAUUAGCUAGGAGGGGGGGUAACGGCUCACCUAGGCGACGAUCCCCAGCUGGUCUGGUAGGAUGACCGGCCACACUGGAACUGAGACACGGUCCAGACUCCUACGGGAGGCAGCAGUGGGGAAUCUUGCACAAUGGACGCAAGUCUGAUGCAGCCAUGCCGCGUGUAUGAAGAAGGCCUUCGGGUUGUAAAGUACUGUCGGCGGGGAGGCGUUACCCGCAGAAGAAGCCCCGGCUAACUCCGUGCCAGCAGCCGCGGUAAUUC